rnacentral:lncRNA from 1 species
CUGUUCCAAAUCUUGUCAAACUACAUAGUAAUCCAAACCUUUUCUACUCUUUGACGUGGUAGUUGUUAAAGUGAAAAAAAAUCAUGUAGUGUUCUGGGUGCUCCGUAAACGGAGGGAUCUACGUACAUACAUACAUAAUGAAGACUCGAGAGCUGCGAGGGUACAUACUAUUCAUUCAAUCAUAACAACGAUAAACACGUGUGUCAAAC